UCACACGCGCCCACGUUGUUGUCCUCCUUCCAUUGCGAUGCCACCCCGCCCUCCUCCAUCCUCACUUCUCCCUUGAGGAGCUCGCACCACCACCUCACUCUGCCUCUCAGUCGUGCUCAGUGGGUCGGCAAACGCGGGGAACGCACGUGCCCAUGGCGGACCAGUGGAGGAGAACAACUAACCAACCAGAAAAGCGGCAGCGACAAAAGUUCUUCACAGCAUCUCAGCAGCCAGGAGGAUAAGGAGUUUGUUUUACUCGAUGGAGGAGCCACACCGUUCAGAGUAUGCAGGACAAGCAAUGAACUUCGAUUUUAUUUUACCAUGUUGGUUGCGUGGCAUCGUUUAUGUGUAAAAUUUCAGAAAAGACAACGGAUAAUAAACUAUCUUUGAUGCAGAAAUCUGUAGAAAAGAAAUUCCGAGCUCGAAGAAACCAAUUGGCAUGACCGGAUAGAACUUCAAACUAGAUGAUCUGAAAUUCAUGAAAGUUUUAAGAAAUGGCUUUCGAUGAAUGAAGCUUCCAUGUUCAUUGCCAACCCGACUGGUCCUCCAGAAAUGGUUACAAACCACACAAGGUCUUCUGGCAUACUAUUUGCUUGCAACGUACAACCUAUUUGUCUUAUUUUGCUUCUUUAGUUCUUCAUGUUGAUCGUGAUUUACGUUUUUUAUUAUAACUCAUAAUUAGGGGUAACAAUAAUAGGUCAGGGUACUAUGCCAUUCGAAGGAAUGUAUACAAUAUUGUUAUUCCAUAAGUGCUUCAUUCAUAGGACAUAACGAGCCAAAUUUAGAUAUGGCCAAAGACUGUCAAAGGAGGCGCACGACACUCCAAAUUGUUUGAGUUCAUCUAAUUGCUUAUUGACCGUGUUUUGUUAAAACAUUUUGCUUCUGUUCAUACAUCGAUUCUGGGGCAAUCAGGUCUGGACAAACUCUACUCCUGCACUACUGUCAUAUUAAUUCUGUUAAAUUUUGUGCUUCUGCUCCUAUAUCUCUAACAAUGCCAAAGAUUGUCUUGUCAUGUCCAUCAGAUACUUGACAUAGUUCCAAUCGCAUGUGUACUUCUUCCUUAAAUGGCUUUUUACGAAGAAGCUCAGGUAAUUAUUGUUCAUGUGAGAACCGUGUAUGCUCUUCUGCUGUAAUCAUUUUCAUUCUUACCAUUUUCAUUCUUACAUUAACAGACAUUCCUUCCAAUUUAUCUGUAAUUCUUGUUAGGAGAUGUAAUAGCAGUAUUGUUAAACGAUUACCUAAGAAGAAUCUAUUCCAGAGAGAAUCUCCUGCGUACUAAUGAUACAUUUUUCAUCUUCGGCUGUUCCCAUAGCAUUUAUGUCCAUUGUGGACAAUGCUUAGGGUAAUUACAUUCCUGAGUAUUUCUAGAUCAAUAAGAUGUUGCAAGAUCGUUCCUUGUGCCAAAUAUAGGUUAUGAACACCAUGACAAUUGGAUGGUAGAGGUCAGAUAGGAGUAUAAUGAAGUUUCUGAAAAAGAAGUGGAAUGUGAGCUCCUACAUGUUUCUCAUCAUAAAAUUCCCUUGUACUAACUGUCUUAAGUUAGUCUUGCACCAUAUUCAUUUUCUACAAUGUUUUUUGGCCUUCUAUUUUUAGGUUGGAGAUAGAUUUGAUGUACUAUGUAUCUGCCAUCUCCCUGUAGUCUGCCAACCGGCGUCAUAAUUGGUCCUUUGUAAAUCUAAUUAUUCUAGGUAAAUAGGAUGAAAUAAGGAUCUAUGUUUGCCAUGGUGCCACACAUAAUUUAGCAUUGCAUUAUCAUUAAUUUCUGAAAGCUACUUCAUCGUUCGUGAUGCACAUACUUGGGUUAAUUUAUCUUUGGCCAAAAAAAACCACAUUGUUCUAUUAUCGAAGAAUGUUCUAUUUUUAGCUAUCAAACUUGUUUUCCUCUAUUGUUCAUUAUGUUUUAAUGUUCGCAUUGAGUUGGGUUUAGCUCUAUUUUACAUUCUAAUUAUUGUUAGAAAGGGUCACGCCUAUUUUGAUUAAACAAAGGUUUCACACAUACUUAUCAUCAUGUUAGGUAUUUAUAUAGCUCAUCUAGGAUGAAUUCUUUGAUUGAUGAAACUAUGAUAUCAUGCUUCUUGCCUACUCAGUUUUUCUUAUUUCGGUUGUCAAUAGAAAUCACACCAUUUACCAAGGCCUUUCUGUUUCCCAUUUUAUGUCCGAAGUAAUCUAAUCGAUGAUGACAUGAUGACAUGACAGAGUUUACUGGAAAGACGUCCAUGCAUAUUGGCAUGCCAAGGUCCAAGACAGGUACCUCCCGUGACUUGAUGAUUCGGAGACCAGAUAGAGGCGGUGUGCCAGCGGGAGAAGGGUGAACAAAGAGAACUGCGAUGGACGCUCAGAAGAAUCGACUGAAGCAUACAACAAAAAGGAACCGAAGAAAACAAAAUUGGGCAGUGAUAUGGCAAGGACGGCGAUUUUCCAGAUUUAGAUUAAUCCACGUCCAUCAAAAAGACUCAAGCUAAGCUGUAUGUAGCCUUGUAGGGAUGUAUGUGUCAUAACCUGGCCAGUAGCAGAAAAAUCAUGGAUAGUGGAUGUAACAUGUAACUUUUGCUUUUCCUACAACCCGAUUGACUAUGGAUACAUAAUUGGAAUGAACCUCGUACUAUACCAUUCUAUCAA